rnacentral:tRNA from 1 species
UGGGGCGAAGCUUAAGUGUGUAUAAGCACCGGACUUUUAAUCCGGCGAUAGUGGGUUCGAAUCCCAUCGCCCCUACCAA